AAGUCGUAGCAAGGUUUCCGUAGGUGAACCUGCGGAAGGAUCAUUAAAGAAUUCGGCUUCGCGGCCAAGUUCUCACCCUUUGUAUACCGAAACUAUGUUGCUUUGGCAGGCCCCUGCAUUUCUCGGUCGCCGCAGUGUUAACACUAGAAUCUCUGCUGUCUGAGUACUAUACAAUAGUUAAAA
rnacentral:misc_RNA from 1 species